AGUUUAGUUUAAAGGUUAUGUGACUUUAUUUAGCGUAUAUGAAUAUCUUCUUGUAUGUAAGGGUGUAUCGGAGUACUAAUUGGUUUUGUCAAGGAUUCUCCUGACACCGUAACACUUUUUAUGUUUUUUAUACUUGGUUAAAUAAAGGAAAUAGAUGCUAAAGAGAAAUCAGAAUCAACUAUAGGCAGGACAAAAUAGUCUUACAAGAUCCGUGAUGAAAUUGUAAACUAACAAAAAUGAAACAAAAAAUCUGAUUAUUGCAUCUGUAAUCCUAUCAGGGAGUUUGUUCAGGGAAGUGAUGGGAAAGCAGGUUCCCUCGGCAGUUUGCGGCGCGGCGCGGCCGACCGCAGGACAGGAGUAAACCGUUUAAAGUGAAAUUUCAUGUUUUUGAUUUAAACCACCCAAGAUGAUGUAGUAGCAGCGCCGGAGAGCGUUUUUUUUUUCCCAUCCCCCACCUCCGCUCCCGGCGAGCAUAAAUCACUCCAGUGACGUAAAAGCAGCAGAGGUUCUGCGAAGGACCGAGCGGUCACAGGGAAAAUCUGGAGGUUACAGGAAGCAGCAUCUGCAACCGCGCUGCUUUUAGCUCCUCCAGCUUAAGAGAUAAAAAAAAAAAGAAGCUGGGACAGUGUUGCCUCUCUUUUAUGUCUAUAUCUGAGGCUCCGUGAGUGUCUCCAGCGCGUCCGUGGCACAGAGUGUGAUGGCCGAGCGCUGGGAAUAAUUAACUCCCGUGACCCAGCCGCUGCAGCGACGGGGCGACCCGCUGAGACUGGAACGCCUGUCAAAUAGACUGGUCAUCACGCUCUUCAGCGGAUGAGAAGGAGCCGCGUGAGCCUCAGACGCACACGCAUGCGCGCACGGACGGGUUCAGACAGACCCGGCGUGCACUAAUUAACACAUUUAACACCUCCAUAGGCCGGACAGAGACACACGGAGGCCCUCCAUAGGUUCUUCAUAAAGCCGGAGUGAGAAAACUGACUGCACUCUGAUGAGGACUGACGGGGGAAUCUAAAGCACUCUUAAAAGACCAGGAAGAGUUUUAUUUUUAAAUAGCGUGAUGCCACAAAGCCUUGCUGCUAUCACUCCGUGUUAAGAUAUCGUGGGAUCCUCACAGCAGCCCACGUCUGGAACAAAAUCUUCCUGUCCACGAAAGGAUGCUCAUCAAAGAACAUCUUCCUCUUCAGGGUUUGGCAGCAAAAGGGAGAAACGAGCUGCAGGUGCUGCUGAAAAGCUCAUGGAGCAAACCAUUUGGAAGGGAUAAUAAUGCUGUAACAUCUAUCAUGCCUGAGUCCCAGAUCUCAUCAGCGCAGAUGGUAAUGGCGGUGUGGUGGCAGCACCUGCUCCUCUGGAUCCAGGCCGGCCACAUGUCUGUCUCAUUACAGAGGGCGUAACACAGCCAAACAUCUGCCUCAGUCACUAUCCCACCGCAGAGCCAUGUAUCCACGGUCAGCGGGCUCAGGGCUGCCAGGAAAACCCAGCUCACGCAGCGAAAGCAGCAAGACGCCGCAAGUCACCUUAGCUGAACCUAAAUUUAAUUUAAGGCGGCAUCAUAAUUUGAUUUCAGAGAUGUGUUACUUUUCCCAUGGCGGCAAAACAAGUUUCCUCUCUCCCCCCUAUGCCUGAGGAGUCCAGCUCAUCCACCUGAGGAAUGAAGAUGAGCCAGAGAAAGGACGAGGAGGGAGGCUUCUACAAGGCCGCGAUCCUCUUUUUGGAGACGAAUUAUCUCAGCAGGUGGAUAUACUACACCAUCCCAUGUGAUAACCCAUUAAGCCAAGGUUAGGAGAUAUAAAGCCUGUGCGUGUCGACAUGUGCAGCAGGUGAUGCUGAAGUCCCACACUUGAUAGACCCAGGCCUGGAAUCGGAGGUAAUGGGCCUGACAGCCGAGCCUAUCAAGAUAUACUCAUUGACCCACACACCUCACACAACUCCUCGUCCCCUGAUGGAGCGCGCUGAUAAAAGCCGGGCCAAAACAAAUGCAUCACCGCGCGCACACACGGGCCCAUUCGGUCUCUCGUAAAGAGGAAGAACAAGGCGAGCCUGCCGCUUCAUGGAGAACAUGUUUUUGCCACGUUUGGACAUGUUCCUGCACAUUUAGUACGUUUUAGAAGUUUGUUUUACGCCAUUCCUGAAUGUUAUAUGGAGGACAGAGACUGCCAAAAUUAAAAUAAAUGCAAGAAUGUUAAAAAUGGGUUUAAAAUGUGUGAACAUGCUGUUGUUUUUCUUUUAUUUAUAAAUGUAUGAAUUUGUUUGACUCGUGUUUUUUCACGAUUAAAAAAUUCAUUUUUUUUU